rnacentral:rRNA from 1 species
AAGCUCGUAGUUGAAUUUCGGGGUUAGUUGGUUGGUCAUGCCUCUGGUAUGUACUGGUCUCACUGAUUCCUCCUUCCUGAUGAACCGUAAUGCCAUUAAUUUGGUGUUGCGGGGAGUUUGGACUGUUACUUUGAAAAAAUUAGAGUGUUUAAAGCAAGCUAACGCUUGAAUACAUUAGCAUGGAAUAAUGAAAUAGGACGUUCGAUCCUAUUUUGUUGGUUUCUAGGAUUGACGUAAUGAUUAAUAGGGAUAGUUGGGGGCAUUAGUAUUCAAUUGUCAGAGGUGAAAUUCUUGGAUUUAUUGAAGACUAACUACUGCGAAAGCAUUUGCCAAGGAUGUUUUCAUUAAUCAAGAACGAAAGUUAGGGGAUCGAAGACGAUCAGAUACCGUCGUAGUCUUAACCAUAAACUAUGCCGACUAGGGAUCGGAUGAUGUUAAUUUUUUAAUGACUCAUUUGGCGCCUUACGGGAAACCAAAGUGUUUGGGUUCCGGGGGGAGUAUGGUCGCAAGGCUGAAACUUAAAGGAAUUGACGGAAGGGCACCACCAGGCGUGGAGCCUGCGGCUUAAUUUGACUCAACACGGGGAAACUUACCAGGUCCAGACAUAGCAAGGAUUGACAGACUGAGAGCUCUUUCUUGAUUCUAUGGGUG